GGGCAUGCUAUGGGCGAGCCUGAUCCAGCCAUGCCGCGUGUGUGAAGAAGGUCUUCGGAUUGUAAAGCACUUUAAGUUGGGAGGAAGGGCAGUUACCUAAUACGUGAUUGUUUUGACGUUACCGACAGAAUAAGCACCGGCUAACUCUGUGCCAGCAGCCGCGGUAAUACAGAGGGUGCAAGCGUUAAUCGGAAUUACUGGGCGUAAAGCGCGCGUAGGUGGUUUGUUAAGUUGGAUGUGAAAGCCCCGGGCUCAACCUGGGAACUGCAUCCAAAACUGGCAAGCUAGAGUAUGGUAGAGGGUGGUGGAAUUUCCUGUGUAGCGGUGAAAUGCGUAGAUAUAGGAAGGAACACCAGUGGCGAAGGCGACCACCUGGACUGAUACUGACACUGAGGUGCGAAAGCGUGGGGGAGCAAACAGGAUUAGAACCCGGGGGGAAAUCCCA
rnacentral:rRNA from 1 species